AACUGGGCAGUGGAGGCUGAGAGACAUGUGGAAUCUCAGAAUGGAGUGGCUGAGAAGCUGGCACUGGAUCUUUCCCUGGUUCUCCUCCUAAUCUCCACUCACUGCACCAGCUUGGUCUCCUUUUCCAGGCAGGAUUUCUGCAGCUGGGCAGACAGUUCCAUCCAUCUGUGAUGCCCUGAGGACUCUCACCUGCCUUCUGCUCCCCACAGAAAAGGUCCUUAACAGAAGAAGGUGCCGAGAAACUACAGCACAAGGUAACGACAGGAGUUGCCUGUUAGAUUCAUCCCUGAUUGAGGACCGAGAUGUGCUGUCCAC